rnacentral:lncRNA from 1 species
AUGGGUGGAUGCUCCGCUCCAAAUUGCUCGAACUCUACAACUAUCGGAAAGCAGCUCUUUCGCUUCCCGAAAGACCCCGUGCGCAUGAAAAAGUGGCUUGUAAACUGUCGGCGUGAUUUUGUCCCGACUCCCUGCUCCAGACUGUGCCAGGACCACUUUGAAGAAAGCCAGUUUGAGGAGAUCGCCAGAUCACCAGCAGGGGGAAGGAAACUCAAACCCAACGCGAUCCCCACACUGUUCAAUGUGCCCGAUCCUCCCUCUCCUGUCACCCCUCAACCAGUGCUACCUGUUAAAAAUGAGUCAGUGGAAAAGGACUUGAACAUGGGGGACCAUGGAUAUGCCCGUCGACAGCCGCCUGUGGAUUCAGAGGAGGAUGGGGUUCAGAGGACAGACGAGGAGCGACCCUGUUCUCUCUGCCAGCAUUAUAAAACCAAACUGGAGCAGCAACAGCAACACACAGUCAGACUACAGAGAGAGGCAGAGGAGAUGAAGAAACGUCUUUACAAACUGAGUAAAAUAGAGAAGGGGCUACAGGUGUUCCUGUUUGAGGAUCAGAUACGCGCCCUUACGUUGGCCAAGCGUUCUCGGAGAGCCGUGUGGUCCCAUGAUACUUUACUGACAGCCCGUAAAAUCCGCUGCGCAGUGGGGGUUAAAGGAUAUGAGUACCUAAGGGAACUGGGCUACCCUUUACCUUCUUACAGGACGCUUUGCAAUCGGCUGGAGCCCAAAAUGAUGGUGACCACGAGUAUGCAGGACGAACUGGCAGAGCUCGGCCUGGGCAUCAUAACAGCGUGUGACAGUCCGGAGGGCAACGUGACGAGUGAUGAACGACUGAUUGGAGUCAUGACCUGAGACGCUGGGUUUGUAGGAGACCGCGCCGAUGCUUGACUGUUAAAUCAGCCGAAGGCGGGACUCGCAGAAGAUGUUUGUUUACGGGGUUAAGUUACGUUGGCUUGUUGUCAUUGCAUUUUGAAACCAUUUGCAUAAAUACCACAACAGUCUGGAGAUGAUUCACUAACUAGUGUGUGUUUUCUUUAACAAAUGAACUAUUUUGGACGUGCUGCAUCUGCCUGUGUAGUUGGAAUCCCUUAAAUGUUACCUAUCUUAAGGAAAUUGAGGUAAACUGAAAUUUCAGCUGUUCGCAGAAUCAUAACAAUGUACCCUGAAAACCAAAUGUUAUCACUCUAAACUUGAUUUUUGCUACCGAGACAAAGAUAUUCAAAUGUUUUUGCUUGUUUCUGUGAGAGGAAGCUGACAAACAAGACUUCUGUCACUUCUUAUAAAGUGGUAUAUUGCUGUUUUAAAGUGAUGUAAAUCUGGUGUACGAGUUUAGUAGCCCAAAAGAUAGCACAUAUUUAUAGAGCCACCACAGAUGAUUCAUGCAGUUGCCAAACGGAAGGGAACUGUUCUGAAUAAUACACUUCUGUCUUUCUGCAAACCAGAGUUUCUGGUUUUUGUGUUCAUGUUUGCCACCCGUCUGUACAGUUUUAUUUCAACAGCUCUCUGAUGGAUCCAUGUCAACUGUUUGUCUUGAAGGCAUAGUUCGCCCAAAAAUAAACUUUUUUUUUUUUAUUCACCCACAUGUUGUUCAAAGACUGUUGGAUUUACUUUCUUCUGUGGAACACAUAAGAUUGUUGGUAACCAACAGUUUUUGUUGUCUUUAACAUUUUUUUAUGGAAGUGUUUACAAAAACAUUUAAAAAAAACAUUAUUACGGCUAUUUGAGGAACAUUUAGUGUUAAACAAGUUUAAUUAAAUGAGACCAGUUUUAUUAAAAGAGGAAAAACACUGAAUGUUUCGUGCUCGUGGGACCCGUCCACUUAUGUGUUGGCGCUCGUGUCUGUACUGAAGGUUGUUUGUUACUCCAUUGAUUAAAGAGUGUACUUUGGCCCAGUCAUUUCAAGGGUAAAACACUGUUGGUUGCAAAACUAAAAUCAAUUCCUCUGCCCGUGGGAUAGUGUAAGAUCUUACAAGAAUGUUUCAUCAAGAGUAAAUCUCAGAUUACCUUUGGUGUAUUAAGAGCCAACCCAGAAAAAAAUUACUUUAUUUUCACAUUUAUUUAGCAUGUGUGCACAUCUGAGACCCUUGGUCAUGUGGAUGUUAAGGGGAAAAUAAUGAACUGACAACUAGUCACAUGGAUUUUAAUAUCUAUGAUGAAUUACUUGUAAUAAUACUAUGUAUUAGCUAUACAGUAUUUGGAAAACACUGGUCACUGAAUCCAUUGCAUCAUCUCCACUGGAAAGUCAAUUUACCCAUGCACUUGUUUUUCACGUGAUGUGAUCACUGAAUGAUUAGCUCAAGCAAACAGUAACGAAAACUGCCAGGGAGAAAGAAAACCAAAUACAACUUUAAUGAACUUCCAUCAAUUUAUGGUUAAAUCUUUUUCCAAAUGUCACCUCAACUAUCCAGAAGGUCAAUCAAAGCAUUGCAGCAGUGUUAAAACAGCAUUUUGACACUUUAGAUGUAGAUUUAAAACAUAUCUAAUCCAAUAAUGUUUAUUGCAUUCUUUACUUCAUGCUAUAACUGUAUAUUAAUAAUUUGUAUAUUAAGUGAGCUGAUUUAAUGGUAAUACCCCAUGGCAAGGUAUGACAAAAUUAGUUUUAAAAAAUCUUGUUCAGUUUGUUAUCAGUCAGUGUGUUUAUCUUGUAUUCAUAUUUAUCUUGGACCACUUUGUAGUCCACCAGUCCCCGAUCCUAUCUUUUACUGGUUUGUUCUGUUUGUUUAGGGGGAGGUUUGUCCAGAUUGAGGCCUUUAAAAAUGCGGACCAGACAACUUACCCUAAUUUUCUUUAUUUCUGACCCAGAGGAGGCCAAGGGGCACAGCUUGAG